rnacentral:rRNA from 2 species
AUGCUUUACACAUGCAAGUCGGACGGCAGCACGAGUACUUGUACUUGGUGGCGAGUGGCGAACGGGUGAGUAAUAUAUUGGAACGUACCGAGUAAUGGGGGAUAACUAUCCGAAAGGAUAGCUAAUACCGCAUACGCUUUGAGAAGGAAAGCAGGGGAUCUUCGGACCUUGCGUUAUUCGAGCGGCCAAUAACUGAUUAGCUAGUUGGUGGGGUAAGGGCCCACCAAGGCGACGAUCAGUAGUGGGUCUGAGAGGAUGAUCCGCCACACUGGGACUGAGACACGGCCCAGACUCCUACGGGAGGCAGCAGUGGGGAAUUUUGGACAAUGGGCGAAAGCCUGAUCCAGCCAUGCCGCGUGUCUGAAGAAGGCCUUCGGGUUGUAAAGGACUUUUGUUAGGGAAGAAAAGGUUGAUGCUAAUAUCAUUAACUGAUGACGGUACCUAAAGAAUAAGCACCGGCUAACUACGUGCCAGCAGCCGCGGUAAUACGUAGGGUGCGAGCGUUAAUCGGAAUUACUGGGCGUAAAGCGAGCGCAGACGGUUAGUUAAGCAAGAUGUGAAAUCCCCGAGCUCAACUUGGGAACUGCGUUUUGAACUGGCUAGCUAGAGUGUGUCAGAGGGGGGUAGAAUUCCACGUGUAGCAGUGAAAUGCGUAGAGAUGUGGAGGAAUACCGAUGGCGAAGGCAGCCCCCUGGGAUAACACUGACGUUCAUGCUCGA